GGCUGCUCUGACGGUAGUGGGUAGUGACAUUAUUGUCACUAAAGUUGGUACACAACCCCCAACUGCUAAAUUUGACUGGCUUUAA
ensembl:misc_RNA Y_RNA Y RNA